rnacentral:rRNA from 1 species
CCUACGGGAGGCAGCAGUGAGGAAUAUUGGUCAAUGGCCGGAAGGCUGAACCAGCCAAGCCGCGUGAAGGACGAAGGUGCCAAGCAUUGUAAACUUCUUUUGUCAAGGGACAAAAUCAGGCUCGAGAGCCUGACCGAGGGUACUUGAAGAAAAAGCAUCGGCUAACUCCGUGCCAGCAGCCGCGGUAAUACGGAGGAUGCGAGCGUUAUCCGGAUUUAUUGGGUUUAAAGGGUGCGUAGGCGGGCUGUUAAGUCAGCGGGAAAAGCCCGGGGCUCAACCCCGGCGAGCCGUUGAUACUGGCUGUCUUGAGAUGUCGAGAGGUAUGCGGAAUGCGCAGUGUAGCGGUGAAAUGCUUAGAUAUUGCGCAGAACUCCGAUUGCGAAGGCAGCAUACCGGCGGCGAUCUGACGCUGAGGCACGAAAGCGUGGGUAUCGAACAGGAUUAGAUACCCUAGUAGUC